UGAUAUUUUGUGCACAAAAACAAAAGAGAAGGUUGAUAUAUAGCCGUAUAGCAGUUUAGGUCUGGCAAGUUUAAAAAAGGCGCGUAUUGUUGAAACAAACAAACACACAGAAACGGUGUAGUCUUUGUAACUUCAAUUCCAAAAGAACGAUGGCGAAUAUCGCAAACCUAUCAUUGAUUCCUAUGAUGCCAACUACUUUCUCUAGCGAGAUUAAAGAAAUCGCGUUUAAAACCGUCCCUUUAGCUUCCAAAACCGAAAUCAAGCAUGUCCUCGAAUCCUUUUAUAGCUUGCAGGUCCAAAAGGUUCGAACAUUGAACGUCAAAGGAAAAACGAAAAAUCGCGGUGGCAACUUAGUCACAAAGCCCAAUUACAAGAAAGUCUAUGUCACUCUCAAAAAACCGAUUUCCUUCGACGUUUUCCCCUUUCAUACCACCGCCAUUGACGACAAUAACGAGAAUAACAACAAGAUUUUGCCAAAUCACUGAUAGGUUCGCAUGUAAAACAAUUGGAUCAACUGCGCUUUAGUUAUCAACUUUGAAGGCUGUGUGCGGUUUUGUUGUUUACCAUAAACACAGAUUCUCGCAAAAAUAAAUUACUAGGGUUUUUGUUAUUGCGUGUUUGAAAAAACAAUUUGCAACCUCAAAUUUUUUAUUGAAGAAUAUGUGGUUUUGUGGAAAGGAAUGAUUUGAUUGUUUCAAA